rnacentral:misc_RNA from 1 species
UAUCUUGCAGAAAAUGAAAUAGAUACAUCUGAUUCUAACCAGGGAGAGGAUGCCCACAUUGUAAUGACAUGCAAAUGCACAAUUCCAUUCCAUGCAAAAUCAUUAAGGUCUCUACAAACUUUUUGUAAUUGUUGAGGAAACGUUUCAUCGCUAAAACUUUUCAUCUGGGAAAUUGAUCAAUGAUAACUUGAUGUUAAUUACUUCUUUCCUCCUGCUUUCAGAUAUUCAGUUCCAGCACUACAAAGCAGAGGAAGGAUGAUGAUCAACAACACCGGGCAGCCAAUUCCGAUAGAAUGAAACAGCAUCUAGCUCUGCUGGAGACAAGCCGCCAAGGGGUGUGACAGUAAUGUAUCCUUCUUGGAGAGAACAGUAGUCUGUAUCACCAUUCCCCACUAGAACUCUUGUAACUCGUCUCUUAAACAGUAGAUGAUCCAAUGCUGCAUUUUUUAAGGCUUUAGCAUGUGUACUCUCUGAUGAAUUCGUCUCCAUAGUCAUUGUGGACAAAACGUUUCCUCCUUCUCUAUCAGAAGUAACUUGCCUCCAUCCCAUUUUCACAAAACUUUUUCCUUGUCGGGUUAGACGGUAUCCCUUGUGAUUGACGACAUCUGUUGGCACAUCAAUAUUGAGAAAGCAAUUCUUGGGAUAGUGUUUUGUCUUGAUUUCAGCCAAUAUAGCACUGAUGAUGGGUAAGCAAGCCUUAGCAGCCAGUGUGAAGUCAUUAACAUUGCUUUUUCCACGAAUCCAAUUAUAUGAUACAGACACAGCAGGAAUACCAUUGAAGAAAGCCUCCCUAGCGCCAGCCACUGUACCCGAGUAUACUAUGUGAUAGCCGCAGUUGUCACCCAUGUUAACACCACUGAUAACCUGAAACUGCAAAUGCUGUUGCUCCGCUGAUGUCAACUUGCUUAACAGAAAGGGCAUUACGCCAAGUAAUGCUAUGACUAACAGCUGAGAGUCAGGAGCACAAACGAGGACGUGAAAGCGAUUGGUGGAAACAAGCAGACUAACUAGAGCUCUCAAUCCCGCCGCAUCGAUUCCAUCGUCGUUCGUCACUAACAUCGUCGGCCGAUCGCCGGCGACGAAAUUAGCCUCCAUUCAACUGAACCGAAUACUUCGGGAAGCGAAA